rnacentral:sRNA from 1 species
CUGUAAACGUUAGAUUUUGAAACGUCACCCUGGCUUCACCUAAUAACACAGCACCGCCGGUGCUUUGGCGUGCGCGUCGUAAAGUGGGUAUGUAUCUCGAUGUUAUAUCUUAUUUUACAAAUUUGCCAUUGAUGUACGAGUAUGGGUAAGUGCCUAGCAUCUUCCCUAUCUGUUAUAUAUCUACUUUGAUCUUUUACAUAGUUUUUAAAGGUAGUUAAACAAUGGCGGCAAAAUAAAAUAUGCGUUUUUAUCAAAUGUUGAAUGGAAAAAUUUCCAUUUGUGAAAAUGAAUCUUAAGAGAAUUGUCAUCAACUUCCUUAAAAGCAAGCAAACGACAAACAUUUCCUUAAGCAAAGGUCCUUAAAGUCUUAAAUUUACCAGUCUAUAAAUAAGUUUCCCAUUUUUGUUGCCUAGCACAGAGGUUGUGUUAUAUUUUUGCAUCGUUUUUUUGUUGUUGUUGCCUUUGCCUCUAAGUAGAUUUGGAAUAUGUUAUCCUCUUAGGAUUUUGAACUUUGAGAAUACAAGGAAAAGGAAAAAAAAACUUAUAAUGUUGUUGUCUAUUUUGUGUGAAAUGAAAUAGAAGAACGUAAUAGGGCAAAUAGAUAACACCAAACUUGAGGCACAUUCAAAUAAUAACAAAAAAAACAAUGAAAAAAAAAACAAACAUUGACUGGGAGAUUGCUGGGGCGAAUUGGUUAAGCAUCUCAUUUGAGUGUUGAACUCUCUCAACCAAUGAGUGAAAUUUAAGUUACUCUGGCUCUUAGAGAGAGAGAAUGUGAGAGAGAGAGAGAGAGUGAGAGAGAGAGAGCAAAAAAGUUCCCUUGGCUUUCUCUCUGCAUCUCUGAGACACACUAUCUGCGAUUUUAGAACUCAAAACAAAAACAAAAUUCAUAUUACCCCAUAGAUAAUUUCGCCGUAGAAUGGCAAACAACAACAAAGUCCACAGAAGAAGAUGGGAGAUAGCCAGAAGACAAGAAAAAAAAAAUAACAUGAGGCUAAAGUAAACGAAAGCAAAACAAAUGGGCGGCAAGGGAGAAAUGAACUGAACUGAACACAAAUGAAAUUAAACUUUGGCAGCAAUGCACACUGCUGCGGCGGCGGCGACGGCGGCUCCUAUUGCUACUGCUACUGCUAGUCAAUGGCAAUGCGAGGCAGUGCCACACACUUUUAGUAUCGCUGAGAUGUUCGUAGAGUACGGUUGUGCUGACUGGCAAAUCUAAAGUGAAACGUGGUAUCAACUAAAUUGAAAAAUAAAGAAAAGAAUUUUAACAAAAAAACAAACGCAAAAUAUCGCAUUGAAAUCACAAAACAUAGCGGCGGAAAGAAAACCAAAAAAUAAAAAACCCAUAAAAUUGAGAAUUUCAAAGUAAAUGAAAUUUUAAAGUUUUUUUUUUUUCAAACAAAAUUUUGGUGAUUUAGAUUUUGAUGAGGCAAAGCUAACAUGUGUUCAAUGAAAUAAAUUCAUAAAAAUAAAAAAAAAAAUGAUUAAGAUCUAUUGAAAUUUGUGCGAAAAAAGAUUUGUGGUAUGGUGUGUAGUUGAAAAAAAAAAAAAUAUAUCUCAAAAAGUUUUAACUAGUUAAGGAUUUAUAAAAUUUUGGUUUAUUAAAGUUUGAAAAAAAAUAAAGAAAAAA